rnacentral:rRNA from 1 species
GAGGGAGCCUGAGAAACGGCUACCACAUCCAAGGAAGGCAGCAGGCGCGCAACUUACCCACUCUCAGUGAGAGGAGGUAGUAAAGACAAAUAUCGAUACAGGACUCAUAUGAGGCUCUGUAAUCGAAAUGAGUGCAUCUUAAAUCCUACAACAAGGAUCUAUUGGAGGGCAAGUCUGGUGCCAGCAGCCGCGGUAACUCCAGCUCCAAUAGCAUAUAUUAAAAUUGCUGCAGUUAAAAAGCUCGUAGUUGGAUCUGGGUUCUGGUUUGGAAGCUAUGCGUUUAACUUCUUGGUAUUUAUACUUGGUUGUUGAAUCAUGGUAUUUCUAGGCCGAAUCUUUCAGCUGUGUCUAGUUGCUAUCUCGGUAGUGAUUGGAUGGCGUUGUAGCUUGUUAGUUUCAUUUUUGAUUCACGGGUUGCUUCGCUAUAUGCUGUGAUGCCCUUUAUCGGGUGUCCAGUGUGGACAGCACGUUUACUUUGAACAAAUUUGAGUGCUCAAAGCAGGCCUUGUGCCUGGAAAGUCUUGCAUGGAAUAAUGGAAUAGGACUUCGGUCCUAUUUUGUUGGUUUAAUAGACCCGAAGUAAUGAUAAAAAGAGACAGACGGGGGCAUUCGUAUGGCAGCGCUAGAGGUGAAAUUCAUGGACCGUUGCCAGACGACCUAAAGCGAAAGCAUCUGCCAAGGAUGUUUUCAUUUACCAGGAGCGAAAGUCAGAGGUUCGAAGACGAUCAGAUACCGUCCUAGUUCUGACCAUAAACUAUGCCAUCUGAUGAUCCGUGGGGCCUCCUUUUGUGAGCCCACGGGCAAUCUCCGGGAAACCUGUAAGGCUAUGGGUUCCGGGAAAGUAUGGUUGCAAAGCUGAAACUUAANGGANUUGACGGAAGGGCACCACCAGGAGUGGAGCUUGCGGUUUAAUUUGACUCAACACGGGGAAACUCACCCGGGCCGGACACUAUGAGGAUAGACAGAUUGAUAGCUCUUUCUUGAUUUGGUGGUUAGUGGUGCAUGGCCGUUUUUAGUUCGUGGUAUGAAUUGUCUGGUUAAUUCCGAUAACGAACGAGAUUCUAACCUGCUAAAUAGUCCAAGUGUAAUUUUGUGGGGUUUAUGCGUCGGAUGAUUUCGGUUGUCUGCGUGUUGCCUUAUGAGCAUUUGGUACUUCUUAGAGGGAUUGAUGGAUAUUCAAGCCAUACGAGAAAGAGCAAUAACAGGUCUGUGAUGCCCUUAGAUGUUCGGGGCCGCACGCGUGCUACACUGACAGUAGUAGAGAGCUUGUUAACCUGGCGCGAAAGUGCUGGGCAAACUUUUCAAUCACUGUCGUGCCUGGGAUUGGGGUUUGUAAUUGUCCCCCAUGAACCAGGAAUUCCUAGUAAGCACAAGUCAUCAGCUUGUGCUGAAUACGUCCCUGCCCUUUGUACACACCGCCCGUCGUUACUACCGAUUGAAUGGUUUAGCAAGGUCAAUGGAUCGGCUACAGUUCGGUGCAAACUGAUUGUUGCUGAGAA